UACGGAGGGUGCAAACGUUGCUCGGAAUCAUUGGGCGUAAAGCGCACGUAGGCGGCCUGUUAAGUCGGGUGUGAAAGCCCUGGGCUCAACUCAGGAAGUGCACUCGAAACUGGCGGGCUUGAAUAUGGAAGAGGGUCGCGGAAUUCCCGGUGUAGAGGUGAAAUGCGUAGAGAUCGGGAGGAACAUCAGUGGCGAAGGCGGCCAUCUGGGACAACACUGACGCUGAAGCACGAAAGCGUGGGGAGCAAACAGG
rnacentral:rRNA from 1 species